AGGCUGCAACUCGCCUGCAUGAAGUCGGAAUUGCUAGUAAUCGCGGAUCAGCAUGCCGCGGUGAAUACGUUCUCGGGCCUUGUACACACCGCCCGUCACACCAUGGGAGUCGGUAACACCCGAAGUCUGUAGCCUGACGCAAGAGGGCGCAGCCGAAGGUGGGAUUGAUGACUGGGGUGAAGUCGUAACAAGGUAAC
rnacentral:rRNA from 1 species